UACGUAGGGGGCAAGCGUUAUCCGGAUUUACUGGGUGUAAAGGGGGCGCAGACGGCGAUGCAAGCCAGGAGUGAAAGCCCGGGGCCCAACCCCGGGACUGCUCCUGGAACUGCGUGGCUGGAGUGCAGGAGGGGCAGGCGGAAUUCCUGGUGUAGCGGUGAAAUGCGUAGAUAUCAGGAGGAACACCGGUGGCGAAGGCGGCCUGCUGGACUGCAACUGACGUUGAGGCCCGAAAGCGUGGGGAGCAAACAGG
rnacentral:rRNA from 1 species